GCCCGAGCAGCGCUCAGUAUUUUGAAAAUAUCCGAAAUUGAGGAGGUUUUGGCUCCGUUCGUCGCUAAAUUUGCCCAAGCUAUGAUCAAACCACUGACUCGUCCCCAAUCGCUCGCGUUGGAUCAUGGGAAUGGGUUAGGUUUCUGAGCGACUGGGAAAUCCUGUAUUCAAGAUGGCGUCCAUACAUAAUGGCGGACGCUAUAUCCAAGGAGCGAAAAUUAGGGCAAAAACUUCUUAAAG